rnacentral:rRNA from 1 species
UACGGGAGGCAGCAGUGGGGAAUAUUGCACAAUGGGCGAAAGCCUGAUGCAGCUAUGCCGCGUGUAUGAAGAAGGCCUUAGGGUUGUAAAGUACUUUCAUCGGGGAGGAAAAACAAAACUAAUAAUUUUAUUUCUUGACGUUACCCGAAAAAGAAGCACCGGCUAACUCCGUGCCAGCAGCCGCGGUAAUACGGAGGGUGCUAGCGUUAAUCAGAAUUACUGGGCGUAAAGAGCACGUAGGUGGUUUUUUAAGUCAGAUGUGAAAUCCCUGGGCUUAACCUAGGAACUGCAUUUUGAAACUGAAAUACUAGAGUAUCGUAGAGGGAGGUAGAAUUCUAGGUGUAGCGGUGAAAAUGCGUAGAUAUCUGGAGGAAUACCUGUGGCGAAAGCGGCCUCCUAAACGAAUACUGACACUGAGGUGCGAAAAGCGUGGGGAGCAAAACAGGGAUUAGAUACC